GGCUUGAUGGUCUAGUGGUAUGAUUCUCGCUUUGGGUGCGAGAGGCCCCGGGUUCAAUGCCCGGUCAAGCCC
rnacentral:tRNA from 1 species